rnacentral:sRNA from 1 species
GUUGGGCAUGGUGGCACAUGCCUGUAAUCCCAGCAACUCAUGAGGCUGAGGCGGGAUGACCACAAGUUUGAGGUCAGCCUCAGCAAUUUAGUGAGACCCUGUCUCAA